GGAAGGUGUACAGGGCUUGGCAUGUCUCUUGAGGAGGCUAAAAAUAGAUUUUGGCUUGGAAAAGUGAAAGAAUGUGAAAGAGCAUGAAGGUUGAAAAGACUGAGGGAGGCAGAGGAUCGGUUUUAAUCUGUUGAAGAUAGCAAUAAAAAGGGAGAGGGUAUGUCGAGGAAGAGUGAGCCGGACGCCAGUUCGAAUUCUGUCUCUUCAGAUCAGAGAGAGAAGGCUUUCCGUGCGACGCAACUUGGGGAAAGGCCUGUAUCUUGCUUAGGUACAGGGCACCAUUGAAGGGAGUGAGUUCAGGGGUAGCGGUGGAGCAAUUUAAGAUUCCUGGUGUUGGAAGAUUCUUGAUAUUUGUGACGCAGACCUGGCGGAGAGUGUGGUGAAACAGCAGUGUGUAGGAGGGAGAUUCCAAGAUGUGGGAAGAUGUGACCACGUGGAAAAGUUUGACUACAUGAAUGAUGAGAGGACCUGGAAACCCAGUGACUCAGGCCUGCAGCUGCCAUUUUCCAGUGGGAAAGAGAAAUGGCCCUGUAUUUCCAGAAAAAGUAGCUCAUCCACCAUGCCAAAAGAGGAAAAUCCAGAACUGUUGAUUAGGAAACAAGAAUGAACAAUGAGGAUUGGGUGUUGAGGGACCACUUGUCACAUUGUCCAAGCUGGGUUUGUGUUAUGAUAAACAAUGGGUUUUGUGUCCAGAUAAAAAUGGUGAUACAGCAUUGAAAAAGACCUACAGAACCAGUGACCAAAUGUCUUUGUUUUCCCUUUCCCCCAUGUUUUAGACAUGACAUGCGGAAAAUCAGGCUCAACCCAUAAAUAUGGGGGCCAACUCAUUUUAUUUUUAAUCCCAGACCCCAUCCACGCAGGAGGCCUUUUGGUAGGCCGUUAUUGUAAAUUUGAAUUUGUUCUUAACGGACUUGCCAAGUUAAAUAAAGGUGAAAUAAAAAUGUUUAAAAUAAAUGAUAUACAAAAUCUGAUAGACAUUGUUCUUGUAUAAAUGUGGCUUAUAGGAAGGAGGUGAAAUAAAAUAUUUUAUUUAAACCAUGUUGAGAUACAGAAUGUAAUUUAUAUGUACACAUGGCUUCUCUCUGGAGUAAUUUGCUGCCCAUAUCAGAUUGUGCAUUAUGUUUAUGAGUUGGCCCCACAUAUUUAUGAACGGCUGUGCCUGAUGUCCUUUGUGGUGGGCUCUCUCAUGAACUGAUAUGAUGUAUUUAGGUGAGCGGACACCUGGGGCGUUUGAUUUGGGAGUUGCCCUUCGUGCUUCCGUACCCUAUAACUCUAUCUUUUUGUGACUAAUUUGUAUACAGGUAGACCGCGUACCUGAUUGGCAGAUAAGUGGCAACCCUGAUUAGAAGUACCAGAUGCUCACCUGUUCUUUACAAAGGCUGUUUUGAAUGAAAGAAAAUUGUACCUACACAUUGAAGAACGCUGUACAGCCGAAACGUCUGUGUACACUAUCCCUGGUGCAGAAAAAAUAUCAAACUUAGAAUAAUGAAGUAAACUUUAUGCAACAUAUUUUUGCAAACCCAUUACACCUCUUGGUUUGUCUAAGACAUCAUUUAAACAUCUCAGAUAAUAAUUACCACU